rnacentral:rRNA from 1 species
UUCGCAAUGCCCGAAAGGGUGACGAAGCGACGCCGCGUGUGGGAAGAAGGCCUUCGGGUUGUAAACCACUGUCGGGAGUUAAGAAAUACAAGGAUAUUAAUAGUGUCUUUGUUUGACUAAGGCUCCGGAGGAAGCCACGGCUAACUCUGUGCCAGCAGCCGCGGUAAUACAGAGGCGGCAAGCGUUGUUCGGAAUUAUUGGGCGUAAAGAGCACGUAGGCGGCCUUGUAAGUCAGUUGUGAAAGCCUUCUGCUUAACGGAAGAACAGCAGCUGAUACUGCAAGGCUAGAGUGCGGAAGGGGAGAGUGGAACUUCUGGUGGAGCGGUGAAAUGCGUAGAUAUCAGAAGGAACACCGGCGGCGAAGGCGACUCUCUGGUCCGUAACUGACGCUGAGUGUGCGAAAGCUAGGGGAGCAAACGGGAUUAGAUACCCCGGUAGUCCUAGCCGUAAAC